CCUACGGGUGGCUGCAGUGGGGAAUAUUGCACAAUGGGCGCAAGCCUGAUGCAGCCAUGCCGCGUGUGUGAAGAAGGCCUUCGGGUUGUAAAGCACUUUCAGCGGGGAGGAAGGCGUUAAGGUUAAUAACCUUGGCGAUUGACGUUACCCGUAGAAGAAACACCGGCUAACUCCGUGCCAGCAGCCGCGGUAAUACGGAGGGUGCAAGCGUUAAUCGGAAUUACUGGGCGUAAAGCGCACGCAGGCGGUCUGUCAAGUCGGAUGUGAAAUCCCCGGGCUCAACCUGGGAACCGCAUUCGAAACUGGCAGGCUAGAGUCUUGUAGAGGGGGGUAGAAUUCCAGGUGUAGCGGUGAAAUGCGUAGAGAUCUGGAGGAAUACCGGUGGCGAAGGCGGCCCCCUGGACAAAGACUGACGCUCAGGUGCGAAAGCGUGGGGAGCAAACAGGAUUAGAUACCCGGGUAGUC
rnacentral:rRNA from 1 species